rnacentral:rRNA from 1 species
AAGAGUUUGAUCCUGGCUCAGAUUAAACGCUGGCGGUAUGCUUAACACAUGCAAGUUUAACUACUUUUAAAAGUAGUAGCGAACGGGUGAGUAACAUAUUUUCAUAUACCUAUAUGAAAAUUAUAAAACUAAUAAAAUUGUUGUAAUAAUUUAUAAAAUUACUAAAUAAAUAGUAUUAAAAGAUAUUAUUAUAUAAUAAUAUCACAUAUAGAUUAUAUAAUAUCAGAUUAGCUAGUUGUUAUUUCAAAAUACUAACAAGGCAAUUAUCUGUAGUUGUUCUGAGAGGAAGUACAACCACACUGGGACUGAGACAAGGCCCAGACUCCUACGGGAGGCAGCAGUGAGGAAUAUUGGACAAUGAGCGAAAGCUUGAUCCAGCAAUACCGCGUGUGCGAAGAAGGUAUAACUGUAAAGCACUUUUUUUUAGGAAUAAGGUUUAUAACUUGAAUGUACUAAAAGAAUAAGCACCGGCUAAUUACGUGCCAGCAGCCGCGGUAAUACGUAGGGUGCAAGCGUUAAUCGGAAUUAUUGGGCGUAAAGUGUACGUAGGUUGUUUAUUAAGAAAUUUGUAAAAUAAUAAAGCUUAACUUUAUUACGCAAGUUUUACUGGUAAACUAGAGUUUAAAAGGGGAGAACAGAAUUCUAUGUGUAGCGGUGAAAUGCGUAAAUAUAUAGAAGAAUACCAAUAGCGAAGGCAGUUCUCUGGGUUAACACUGACACUAAUGUACUAAAGCGUGGGGAGCAAACAGGAUUAGAUACCCUGGUAGUCCACGCCCUAAACGAUGUCUACUAAUUGUCAGAUUUUUAUUUGGUGAUAAAGCUAACGCGUUAAGUAGACCGCCUGGGGACUACGAUCGCAAGAUUAAAACUCAAAGGAAUUGACGGGGACCCGCACAAGCGGUGGAUGAUGUGGAUUAAUUCGAUGUAACACGAAGAACCUUACCUACUCUUGACAUGUAUAGAAUUCUUUUGAAAAAAAGAAGUGCAUUUUGAACUAUAACACAGGUGCUGCAUGGCUGUCGUCAGCUCGUGUCGUGAGAUGUUUGGUUAAGUCCUAUAACGAGCGCAACCCUUAUUUUUAGUUGCUACUAUUUUAGAGCACUCUAAGAAUACUGCCAAUGAUAGUUGGAGGAAGGAGAGGAUGACGUCAAGUCCUCAUGGCCCUUAUGAGUAGGGCUUCACACGUCAUACAAUGAUUAAUACAAAAAGACGCAAAGCCGUGAGGUAAAAGCUAAUCUAUAAAAUUAAUCUUAGUUCGGAUUGCACUUUGAAACUCAAGUGCAUGAAGCUGGAAUCGCUAGUAAUCGUAAAUCAGAAUGUUACGGUGAAUACGUUCUCGGGUCUUGUACACACCGCCCGUCACACCAUGGAAGUGUAUUUUGUUGGAAAUAAUUUUUUAUAAAUUAUCAAUACAGGAUUCAUAACUGGGGUGAAGUCGUAACAAGGUAGCUGUACCGGAAGGUGCGGCUGGAU